UGGGGCGUGGCCAAGUGGUAAGGCAAUGGGUUUUGGUCCCGCUAUUCGGAGGUUCGAAUCCUUCCGUCCCAG
rnacentral:tRNA from 9 species